rnacentral:rRNA from 1 species
UACGAAGGGAGCAAGCGUUGUUCGGAUUUACUGGGCGUAAAGGGUGCGUAGGUGGCUAGGUAAGUUGGAUGUGAAAGCCCUGGGCUUAACUCAGGAAUUGCAUUCAAAACUCUCUAGCUAGAGUAUGGAAGAGGAUGGUGGAAUUCCCAGUGUAGAGGUGAGAUUCGUAGAUAUUGGGAAGAACACCCGUGGCGAAGGCGGCCAUCUGGUCCAUUACUGACACUGAGGCACGAAAGCGUGGGGAGCAAACAGG